UUUUUUUUUUUUUUUUUGAAACUUAAAACAACAUCCAUUUAUUCACAGUUCUGUAGGUCUGAAGCUUACAGGCUGAGUUUCCUGCACAGGAUAUGAUAAAGCUGAAAUUAAGAUAUUGGUCAGGCCAAGCUGUCACCCAGGGGCUCUGGGGGAAAAGUCUACUUCCAAGCCCAUUUUUGGAAUUGAAUUCAAUUUCUUGUAGUUGUAGGAUGGAAGUCCCUGAUAGCACUGAGGGCUCCCUUUCCUUGCUACCACCCUUAACAUUUUUUAAUUCUGAACGUUGACUAAAGUACCAUAAAGCAGCCCUCUUUUCUUACAAACUCACUAUGUCUUUAAACACUAAAACCCUCUAACUUGUGGCAAGCUCACUUCAGUUUCUGUAGGUGAAAGGGACCAGAUAAAAGGCCCAGUCCAAGACAGUUGACAUUUUUUUGUCUCUUUUUUAUUUUAGCUGCCUUUUUGUUGUUUUGCUAUUAUUAAAAAUAUCCAUAGAUAUUCUUUGAAGUCAGAAAUAUGUCUGUGUUUCAAUUAACUCUGCCUUUUACCUGACCAUGAGAAAAUCCCCCACUUGUUCUAUGAGAAAACUACUGUUUUCCAUACUGAUGAUAAGAGUACCUAUUACCCACCAUAACCCUUUCUUACUGACUCCCCCAAAGGAUCCGUCUCUCAAAGGCAGAGCCAUCUAUCUUUAGCUCCCAGCAACAAGAACCACCAAAGGAGAUUCUUGACAUCCACAUCUUGAGUCAGUGACUAAACAAUCAUUCAAUGAUGUUCAAAUACUAGUCUUGUUUAUCCUCAAAUUUUGCUUUAAAAAAUAAACCAAAAAACUAUGCUUUCUCUACCCACCUCCUGCUUCAACUUAACCCAUCAAUGAUCUAACUAACCAGAGAGUGAGUUCAGAUUUGGAUGUUCUUCUACUUUAUAAUACAUGGAAAAUUGAGAGAUUUUGAUUUUCAAUCCAUAAAAGGAAUUGUGUCCUACAGCUUAAUCUGCAACUAAGCUCCAUAUAGCCAAAGAUAAGAACUCAUCCUCCUUAUCAUCCAGUGGGAGGCAAAUCCAGGUUUCUCUUUUGCAUGUUUACUCAAAAAUGAAUGAAAGAGAUAAACUGUGGGAAGGGGGAAUCAGAGAUCAUAAUGUGUUACCAUAACAUAGAUUAAUGCUACUUACUUUCCCUUACAAUUAAUCGAAUAAUGUAAAUGAAAUGAAAUGAAUGAAAACCGUGUAAUAUUAGAUUCAAACAGUUCCCUCCUGAGAAUAUACUGUAAGUGGGGCUUAGGUGGGGGCUCAGGAUGGAAGACAGUGGAUUGGUCUUGAAGCCACAUUUACAGAGCAAGAGCACUGUUUUGGUGGCUUGAGUGGAGGGGCUAAACUCUUGGUGUCACCACUGGACUUGGAAGAACAUAUUCAUAUUAUAGUGUGGUUGACCCCAGGAAGCAUUUGUAAUUCUGCAUUUAAACUGCUUUCAUCACCUCCUAGAGACGGUAUCUCAAUGGAGUGUUGCCUUUUGAGAUGAAAAAAUUAAUUAAAAAUAGGUAUACGUCAUAGAAUGACAAAUUCACUGAGUUACGCCAUUUGUUUCAGCUACUCUGCUCUCAUUUUCUAGCUCCAAAUAUCAGAGGCAAAUAUAAAAUGGCUUCAUUCAAUACGCAAGAUUCAUUCCUAGAUGUGCUAAUGGAAUUUCUGACUGCCGAUAAAUGAUAAUUUAUUACACAGCGAUAGCAAAGAUUCAACCACAUUUACUUUAAUGGUUAGCAAAAACAAACAAACACAGAAUCUAACAAGCACUGGGGUAUGAAAUAUGUGAUUAGAGUCAAUACUCCAAUUCUAAUCUCCAAAUAACAGGUCAUUUCUAACUUUGUAAUCCUUAAAAAAAAAAAAAAAAAGAAAAGAAAAAGAAAAAAACACCAUUCAAGUUAUAGAAUUAAGAAAAAUUCGGUACAAACACAGCUACAUAGAUAAUGCAUCAAAUGAAAGAGCCAGCCCACCAGGAGCUAUUUCUCUUAUGAGACACCGCAUUCUCCCUUUGUAGCACUAUGCAUUAAACGUAGGCUGUCUGGGACUUUGGUGGGAAGGACUUUUUUAGGUAUCAAUUCUCCUGGUAUUUGACUUUGAUGACUAAACCGAAACAAAGGAAUAUUAUUUCACAUUCAAGCAGAACCACAUGCCGAGGCAGGUGCUUGGUAAUUUUUAGUUAUUUAUUUGCCUGAUGCUUUUUCCAGCAAUUUCGACUAUAAUGACUAUAAUAUCCAUCUGUUUGAAAUGGAAAUUGGUUAGCAACUAGAUCCUUUUUGGAUUCUUACAAUAUAUCACCUACCUGCUUAGAAUGAAAUAUGCCACCUAAGGCUCUGAUGAAAUACAUUUUAAAUAUGUGCAAGACGUGACGGGGUGUCACUCCGCAUUCAUUCCAGUCUCCUCCAAGGGUGAAAUCCUCCAUCUGGGAGGCUGGAAAGGUGUAAACUACAUUUCCCAGAAUUCCUUGCAGCAAGAGCCUGGGCACAGAUGAGCUUCUGCUGAUGAGCUGGGUGAGAAGGGAGGAAGAGGAUGUAUAAAAAAUAUAUGUUUGCAAAUUUGUUUCUGUUGUUGGUAGCUGUGUUCAGUCACUGGCUUCCUGGGUGGAGUGGCACUUCGUAGCAGCUUCUCUGAUCACUGUGCUCUUGAUUGUCAGCAGCUCCAGUGGUGGCCCUGAUUCCCAACCUCCACGUGGUGGCAAUGAUGGCAACAGCCCUGGGGGCCCAGUUCAGCUGUGCUGUCUGGGUGUCAUCCCUCAAUCUCAGCCUCAGCCCUUUUCUCUCCUUUCAGUGGCAACCUUUUCUUCCAACCUUCCUACGAGCACCCAAUUCCCAUAUGAAGUCCCUUUCUGCUUACAGUAGUUAGGGUAGUUUCUAUUCGCCACCGCCUCCAGGUACAGGGAAGAAGGGACUGAUGAGGGCAUUCAGUGCACAAAACAGCAGGUCCGAUGCCUGGGGAUAACUGCAAGAAGGAAAGAGCUUGUAUCCCUCUGACAUCUGCGGUUAUCCAUGAAGAACAGGAGAAAGGUCAAGGGCCAUGCCGUCCAGAACUACCCAAAAUGAGGCCAACACCCUACGGACUGAGGUUAGAGCCAAAGCAUAAUUAUAAAGGCUGAGAACUAAUUAUGGGGACCCCUAGAGAGAGAAAGAAACAUAAAGGAAAAAAUGACAAAGGAUAGAGGAAGGAAAAAGAAGGGAAUAGGUAAUAACAGUGAAUAAAACCAUGCAUAUGGGGAAAAGAAUCAGAUACCAAAUCCUUCACUGAGUUUGCCUGGAUGGUGCGGGAGAGCAACCCAUCGAGGAUGCAUGCUGCUUCCUGCCGCCACCCCGCAGGCCCAUGUCACAUUUCCUCAGAGCUGGGCUCAGGCUCCUCACACACAGACUCAGGAGGGCUUUCCAGGGGUGAAAUACAAGUGAA
rnacentral:lncRNA from 1 species